CGGUCGGGCCAGCACCGGCCGGCUGGCCGCCGGCUUCGGGCUGGCUCUGGUGCCGAUCGUGGCCGCGCCGGUCGCC
rnacentral:tRNA from 1 species